ACGUUUAGCCAACGGUGGCUUGGUGGACGUGG
rnacentral:scRNA from 1 species